CUACGGGUCGCAGCAGUGGGGAAUAUUGGACAAUGGGGGAAACCCUGAUCCAGCAAUGCCGCGUGUGUGAAGAAGGCCUGCGGGUUGUAAAGCACUUUCGGUUGGGAGGACUGCUUCUAGCACUAAUAUUGUUGGAAGUUGACGUUACCUUCAGAAGAAGCACCGGCUAACUCCGUGCCAGCAUGCCGCGGUAAUACGGAGGGUGCAAGCGUUAAUCGGAAUUACUGGGCGUAAAGCGCGCGUAGGCGGCUAGAUCAGUCGGGUGUGAAAGCCCCGGGCUUAACCUGGGAACUGCAUCCGAUACUGUCUAGCUUGAGUACAGGAGAGGAGAGUGGAAUUCCACAUGUAGCGGUGAAGUGCGUAGAUAUGUGGAGGAACACCAAUGGCGAAGGCAGCUCUCUGGCCUGAUACUGACGCUGAGGUGCGAAAGCGUGGGGAGCAAACAGGAUUAGAUACCCGGGUAGUC
rnacentral:rRNA from 1 species